UUUUCAGAAAAACAUUUUUCAUGAUAAUCUUUCCAUUUCAUUACAUAAUUAUUCCUUGUAAAGUGAAUUCAACAAACAUGAAAAUGUUUCAAGGGAUAUAGAUUACUAAUUUAUGGCAAGAGACUAAUUAUACCAGUGAUACAAUGUUGUUCUAUCACCCUUUAGAACUUGCUCUUGUGUUCAGGCCUAUGGGAAAACUCGAAAUCUAUAUGCACAAAAGCUCGCUCAACUUCAGGUAGCUGCUCAAGCUUCUCUUGGAGAUCCUCGCCAAUAUUAUGUGCUUGGUUCAAAACCAUGUCUUCUGGCAAGACUAUGUCAACCUCCGCAAAGUAAUGGUUACCGAAAGUGUAUGCCCUAACCGUGUCAAUGUGCUUGAUCUCUUUAUGGUGAUUCCAUAUCAGGUAUGUUAGCUUUGCUAGAAACUCAGGCGGGGCAGUUCUUCCAAUCAAAGACCAUACAUUCUCGAUGACUGUUCUGGACCAUGUGGUGAUGGUAUACAACGCUAUCUGCGUAUUGGGUGAAGAAAUGAUUGAUAAUUCUAAAGCCAAAGUCUUAAAUCCUAAUAGGAAACAAAUGAGAUUCUUAUUUACUAUCUAUCCUACAGUGCCCUGCUAAGGGCACCGAUAGGCAUUGCUAUCAGCUCAUUGAAAGGCCAAGCAAUUUUAACAAAAAUAGCACAGGGCAUUUGAACAUAUUCUGCAGGACAUAAUAGGUGACAUGGAUUUCAUCAUGUCUACCCAGAUAGUUUUUUCUAAAAAAAAAAAUGAAUAAAGCAAGAGAAGUUGAAGAGUGGUUAAUCCAACUCGAAAUACAGCAGAAUAAAGAACUACGAGAAUUCACAGUUUAAGAAACUUACUAUAAUAGCUCCAGUAGGAUCGAUCCACCAGUAAUAUCGGAUAGCUAGAACGGCUGUUAUCAAACCAACUGAAUUUGUUACGACGUCAAAAAGAUGAUCUUGAGCAUAGGCUCUGACAAUUUCAUUCUUAAAUCUUCGACAAUAGAGCAUUAGCAGAAACUUCACUACCGUGACAGAAACCAUUAUGGCAAUCAUCCAUUUCUCCUGCCCCUUGUCCAUUCUAGGCCCUUUCUGCAUCAAAUAAAUAAAAACUAUUCUAAGCCUGCUCAAAAGAGCGGUAAAGAUGACAGGAAGCUUCACAUAGGAAAUUAGGCUACUUAAAGUAAGGAAUGACUUUGUUUGAGUCCGUUAUAUUCUCUCAUUGAGUGCAGAACAUAGUAGUAGGACAAUCGACGCAAUACUCAUGAAAUUUUUCCUGAAGGAAAUCUGUUCAGUUUAAAUCUAAGAGAUCCUGGAGCCCAUCGACUAAAUAUUAACAGAAAAAUAACCAAUCAGUUUUUCAGCUCAAUUCCAUGUGCGAUGACUUCCCUAACUUGACAAUCUCCCUCCCUUCCCAAGACAGAGACAGUGGCAACUAAUGUGAUUAAACAAAGUUCAAAGCAUGAACAGAGUGGGUAUAUCAUUCAAAUUUUAUAGUUUAAAUUUUCUUUUUAACUGAAUUAUGGCCAAAAGUAUCAUAGCAUAUAAGAAAGUAAAGCUGUUACUAGCAAGUGAUCUAAAUCUUUUCUCGAAUGUUGAUCCGGAGAAUAAAAGUCAAAGGUGAAAAAGAGGUUAAAAUCCAAGUACGAGUCCAACAUUGCACUACUAUUUAGUUCAUCCUUUUUCUCAGAUGAAAAAUGAGUAAAUCAUAGUUGCGUACCUUUAAAUGAGCUGCCGACCAGACUCAAGUAGAAUUUGCAACCCCAGUGUCGCCAUUACAGAUGCAAAGACAAUGAUGCCCUGCAUAAUCAAGCGAUUAUCAGACAUGUUGAAAUGAAGGAAAUCGAUAAUUUCAUAAUUUGAGUUGGUAGGUGUCCUGUUACGAAAUUUGAUUCCCAUUUGCUUUCACUUGGAGUGUAAUGCUGUAUUCCCAUUUCUUUGCUCCGUAUAUUCGUUAAUUUCCCUGACAAAAACAAUUACAGUUUAUCCAUCUUGAAACCCAAUUGGAUUGUGAUAUUAGCUACUCUUGCAUCUUCUUAUCCUUGGAUAUAUCCAAGCAAGCGCUAUUGCCUGUAAUCAUUUGAAAUUCUAUCGCAAUAAUUGAAGUACACCUUCCAUGGCCCUCUAUUGCUUUCUGUCACUGAAUAGAUUUUACUUUAGAAUUGUGUAACAUAACAGCAUAGAGUGGAUAUAGCAAUCCACUUACAGACCUCUUGAGAGAUGAGAAGGAAAUAGAAGAUCAAGUCAUGUCUGCAACGGAUCUGAUUCCGAACAAACAAGUAUUAAGCUGAGUGACCAAGUAAAUGCACUAACUCACCACGGCUGCAUCCGUUUCUUUCCAAUUGGAUAGCGGUGGUAAUGGUUUGGCUUUUUCAUGGCAUGGGAAGUGAACCACAAAAUAAAUCCCGACAAGAGAUCCAGUAGGGGUCCAGAGUUGACGCAACUGCCAAAGAUUUGCUCUCCAUAGAAGCAUAAACCUUUGCUGCAAAUAGUAGCAAGUUAGCUACAUUGGAAUAUGAAUUGCCAGUCGCUCGCUCUUUGCCAGCUGCUUCAUUUCAUCCUGAAAAGAAGAAGGAUGCCUUUAGAUUGAACUAUUAUAUCAUUAGCAAGAGUGGGAGCAGAGGGGGAAAGAAGAUAGCAUCCUACCUCAGUCGGAUUUCCAGGGAAACAACCCGAUUCAGUCAUGGCCUCCAUCUCAUUAUACCCUUCAAGGAGCCUUUCUUGUUUCUUGUAGUAUUCAGAAACCUUGCGUUGCUUCCCUGAGGCCAAGCAUCGAAGAAAGAGAUGGCAUAAAUUCUACAAUGUAGCACUAAAGAGACUGAAAUCACAAGCAAAUGGAAGUGUCCCAAUACAAUGAAAGAAGUUACAAGUAACUAAUGUCAUACUACUCGCUCCCUGUAUCUGUCAGGUAAAAUUUAUUCUUCAAGAAGUCUUAGGAAUCUACCAAAUAGAGUAGUAAAUUGCUAAAAAUCAAUGUGAACAGCUACGAACUCUAUAAUCAGAUCAUUAUUUAAAUAACUCGGUGUUUAGCCCAUAAUGUAGGGGCUGGCCAAAACAUCAGCCACUGAUGCUUUGACCAGCCACAGUUUUGGCAUGAAUGCAAGGGAGUCUGGAUGAUGCAAAAGCACAAUAAUGGUUAUCUUUAUCAUGGUGACAAUAAACAUGCAAUCAGGAGGUUAAGGAUGGCUUCCUCCACCGGCCUCAUGGAGAAAAGAGAUCGAGAGAGGAAAUUAAAUAGUGAGUACUUGAAGUAGGGAGGAGACGUCCAGGGAGAAAGAAGAGACCCGAUCAUGACUGCGAUGCCUAUGAGUUUCUCGAGGAAGACGGAACUUAUCAAUAUCUAAUCUCCAUGAGGCCGGUGGGAAGCAAAUGAGAGUUAUCAUCUUCUGUUGUGUAAUCAGUGCCGCCGCCGCCGCUCUCACUAGCCAUGACUAGUGUCGCUUUGGUCACUUCUUCACAGCUUAUGUAUUGGUAGCGAUCGGUGUUUUUUUUUUUUUUAAGGAACUUGUGGCUAUCUUUUCAGGCUUUAUGGAGUUGUAGUCGUCUGGGGGGGGGGGUUGGUUUGGGCGGUGCAUGCUGUAACUGCCUAUUCCUAAAUAUCUGGGUCUUGCUAAUUUUUGCAAAGAUAUUUAAAAGAGUGAUUGUUUUUGUGUUUUAAUUUAAUUUUGAAAAUAUUUUUUCUUAUGUAUUAGUAUUACUGUUAAAAAAAAAUUAAAAAAUAUUUAUUUUAAUGUAUUUUCAAUUAAAAAAUACUUAUGAAAACAUGACAUUACUAAGCACGUACAAAUAUUUGAUGUUACCUUUCUUAAUAAACAAAUGAAAAAUCAAUCUUAUUUUUCUUAUUAAAUUUAAAAAAUUGCAUAUAUUUAUAUAUAUAAAAGUAAUUUAUACAUCCACAUUUACAGGAUGUAUUUACUAGAUUUCAACUCAAAAUAUAAUUACAAUCUUUCUAUUUGUUUUAACCUAAUGACCAGGAAAAAUGAAGUCGAGAUAGCUAUGAUAAAUUAAUUCAAUAGACUGAAAUUGCUAGCUAAUUAACUACAUGCCUCUCUCGUUGUAGUCCAUUAGUUUUGCGUAAUUUCAGCAUUUUUUAAUUUCCCCUUUCUCUUGUCCACCUUGCAUAAUUCACAGGAGGUCAUUUUCUCAUCUAAGCUUAACAGGGACGGAUCAUAGAAUUAUAUAUAGACCACUGAUCACAGUAGGUAUAUCCAUGCAUAUAUACAUAAAUAUUGGAAUACAUGUAUAUAAGAUCAUCCCAUGUAGCAAGAAAUUAAUAUUGAAAAUCUUAAUUACACCACAAUCAUAGAAUUAUAUAUGCACUUCAUUCAUUGAAGAUGGGAUGACGGCCAAUCUUGAAUAUUCGUACAUUUCAAGUGCUAAUAUCCUAAUUAGAGAAUGCAGAUCUCUUACAGCUUACAUAGGUUGCCACGAGCUUCCUUUUAACGCCUAAUAAAAGUUCCGUAAAGGUAAUCGCUAAACACAAAUCGAUAAAAAAAAGAGAGAAAGAAUUGUUGAUGUAUUGUCUAGCUGUAAGAAAUUUUAAACAAAAAUUAAAAUGCAUUUGUUUUUGUUUUUUAAACACUGAGACAAAAAUAUAUAACAUUGAUAUGAGUCAACGAGUUAAAUACGCAACCUAUUUAUGUAAUCGCUGAGAAUUGCUGGUUAAUUGCUUUGCGUGAGGUUAUAUUUCUGGCUUUUCCACUCUCUAUAAUUUCUCUAACGAGUUAUCGUCAGAAUCAACUUCUAGAAAUAUACACAGUUUGAUUCUCUUUUACCCUCCUCAUCUGUAAUUAGCUGAAAGUACCUAACGAGUAAAUUAUAAACCAGUCCCUUUAAUUUUGUAAAGCAAAAUGAAUAGUUUUUACCUUUUGAAACUAAUUGAUUGACUAAUGUUGAUUAUGUUUAAUUUAUUACGUACAUUGUUCGAUUUUUUUCUUUCGUGUUAUUUACUUCUUUUUUUCUUCUAUUUAUUAAAAUAAAAAACAAAAUAAAUUGAAAAGGAAUAAGAAAUUGAUGGCAGAGACUAUCAAUUAGUUUUUAAAACUAGAGGGGCUAUUUAAUUUGUUGUGAACUAGAAAACUAAUUUAUAAUUUAACCACCACUUAAUACCAACAAGGAAUUUAAAGCUGGGUAUAGAAAGUAAGAAACAAAAAACAAAAGAAAAGGAAAAGAUUAAGGCAACGAAGAGAACUGAAAUGAGGCAGAUGCGGUCAAGGCAGCAAGAUCAAGGAGAAGAUCGAGGCAAGGAAUGCAUUACUUGAUGAUGUACGCAGGAAAGAGGACCAAGUUUGACGACCACGAUCUGUACUGUCUUGAUUUUCCAUGCGAAAACUGUCGAGACUGAGUCGCCAUGACAAUGGGUCCUCUUCUACCGAUGAUUUUGCAAAUGGAAGAGCCUCGGCACUAUAAUCUUCUGUGACAUUCUUUUUGUAAUCACUCUGAUCUCCUUCCAUGUAACUUUUUUGCCGAGAGAGAACAAUGAAAAUGUUGAUGGCUGUCACUUGCGCAGAUUCUACUGAUUCUAAAAUCCCCAAAACCGCCUCCUUGUUAUAGGAAAAGGCCGAGCUACACGUGGCUUCUUUUUCUUUUUCCAAAAUGAAGCCCGCUCCUUUCGGCAAUUUCGUGAGCGGUACCAAUACAAGGACAGCGAAAUGUUUUACCUGAAAAUUUCCCUGGUGGUUCAAAAUCUUUUAUGGGUUUUAUCGAAAACAACAAAAUCUUUUUGGGUCCAAUAUGGUCCUGAAUUUCCCUAGCUUCCCGGCGACGGAAUUAACAAAGGGUGAUGGAGGAGAAUAUGUACUUGCUGUGCAGUUCAACAAUUACUGAAGGUGCGUUUGUUUUCUAAAAAAAUAUUUUUAAAAAAUUAAUUUUUAAAAUUUUCUUUGUUUAUUUAUUAUUAAGAAAAAUUUUCAAUGAAAAACACUUUUUGAUUAAUAAAAAAUAUUUUCCGGUCAAAGAAAAAUUUAGCUUGGUUUUUUUAAAAAAUAUUUUUUUUUUAUUUUGAGCGAAAAACAUUUUUUAAAAAUUGUGAAAAAUUUAGAAAUAUUAUAUUAUUUAUUGAUGAUAUCAAAUUUGAUCCUUAAAUUUUUGAUUAUUAUAUAACAAAAUAUUUGUUUUUUAAUUUCAUCUAUUAUAAUUUAAUUUUUAUAUUAACUUUAGUCUUUAUUUUUAUUUUGCUUUUCCCUUAUUGUUUUUUAAUUGAAAUUUUUUAUCUAUCAAAUUUGGUUCUCAUUCUUUUAAUUGUUACUUAUUUUAUUUGAAAUAAUUUAUGAAAUGUCAAUUAUUAUUAUUUUAAUUUCUUCAUCUUUCAUUUUUUUUAUUUUUUAUUUGAUCUCUAUUAUUUUUAUUUUUAUUUAUUUUAUUUGAGAUAAUUUGUGAAAUUAUAUUUUUUUUUCAAUUUCAUUUUCAUUCAACUUUUUAAUUUGUAAGAUUUGUUCCUCACUAUUUUAAUAAAAUUAAAAAAAUAAAAUAUUAAUAAGUUAUUUUCCAGCUCAUUUUCCAUCACAUAACAAAAUACUAGAAAGUAUUUUCUAACUUAUUUUUCAUUACACUACCAAACAUUGAAAAAUAAUUUAUUUCUUUGAAAUUUAAUUUCUAAAAAGAAACUACUUUCCAGCAAAUAAACAGAAAAAAUUAAAAAAAAUAAAUAUAUAAAAAAUUUAAUUUUAAACAAAAAAAUUCAAAUUUUAUCCAAGUCAUUUAGAAUGCAAUAGCAUACAGGGCAUUAGUUACUUAAAGACAAUGCAAGGGAUCAUUUUGCAAUUGCUACUGCCCUAUGAGCCAUUAAUCGGCCGACAAUGUAAGAUCACUGGGAACAUGUGCAUAAAGGCAGAAUAACUUAUCAUUGAAAUCAAUUUUAUUCCUUGCAUAGUGUCUUCUAUAAUCAGUUCUUGUAAUAAAUUAACUGUUCUUCUAUCCUAGCUCUCAGUCAUAUUACCUUAAAAAAAAACAUAAAAGAGCGUGGGGCAUAGACGAAAUCCUAGCAAUUUUAACUGUGAGCUGUGACUCGUGGCAAGCAUGCUGUGAAAUAUGGACCAUAUUCAUAUACAUUGCAAGCGAUCAACUAAAAAGAAAAUCAGCAAAAAAAAUAUCCUGUAUUCAACAUUAAUUAAUAAAAACUUUAAAGAAUUUACUUGGUGGGUAAAAUUUUUGCUCGAUUGUUUGAUUUUAUAGCUGUCAAUCUUGAAGUAAACACCGGAAGAAAUUAAAUUUCUCUAAAUGCACAGAGGAAACUACAUGCAUAUCAUUAAAAAAUAAUGUUAUAAAAAUACUCUUAUCAUGGAAUUAAAAAAAACAUUAAUUAAAAGACAUGUUUUUUCAGCAACUAUCACCAUGAAACACACACACACACACGCCCACAUACAUACAUACAUACAUAUAUGUAUGUAUGUAUAUAUAUAUAUAUCAUGUGGCCUGUAAAGUUACAUACAUAUAUACAAAUUUUGUAUGUGCUGCACAUUGCAAGCAACUCCCUUUGGUUUUGGAGUUCAGAGAAAUAAAAUUCAUUUACAUACCUAUAGUCACUAGGCAACUUCAAAUGUGUAGGUUCUAAGCUUGAAAUAGCUUGUUUAUCUAAUUUGUUGAAGGAAUUACCUACAACUCUAAAAGAUUUGAGAUUCCUUGAAUAAUGAGGCACCCCCCCCCCCAAUUCAAUCACAUCAUUCAGUGGCCUGAUUAGAUUUGAAUUAAUAUUGAAAUUAUGUACAAGUACUAUAUCAAAAGUAAAGGAUUAAAUUCUUAAGCACAAAGAACUAUAGGUUUGGUCCAAUUUUUUUUCCGGUGUUUAUUUUGAACCAUAAGUUUAUUUUAUUUAAUUUUUGUUUCUUAUAUGAAAAAAAGACUUACUGAAAAAUGAUAAUAGAAAGAAAGUGAUUAAUUACCACAAUUCCUACCACGAAAAAAAUUAAGUUUGGUGCAUAUAUGUUUCAUGCAUCAAGAGAGUUGGAAGGUGUUGGUUAUUGGCCUUCAAGUUAGCCGGAAAAAUAGAUCAAGGCUUUGAAAGAUUUGAGAUUUUUAGUUGAUUUUUUCUUAUUUUUUGACUAAUUUUGGUAACUUUUAGGGCACAAGUGGUUUCAUCGAGUUGUGUAUGUUUUUUUCCAUGUGUUUACGGAUAAAAAAUUAGUUAAAAAUGGAUUAUUUAAUCCAAAAAAUUUAAAAAGAGUUUAUGCCCAGUUUUCGACCACCUGAGCUAUCAUAAAUUGGGCAAGUGAAUAACGAGCUGUUUACAUCAAUAAAUGACACAUUGUCUGUGUAAUUUUUGUUCAAAAAGACCCCCUUAGAAAAAUAAAAAGAGUGGUCAAACUUGCAGACCCAGUAUUAGGGGGUCAGCAUUGGGCUUGAUUUUUUUAUGUUUUGUUUUUCAAAACUCGAAAAUAAAUAAUUAUCAUGUUGAUUUAUUUAUUCUUUCAUUUUUACAUGAUUCUUAAAUAACAUUAUAAAUUUUAAUUCUAAUAAUUUAUUUUUCAAUUAUUAUGUAUAUAAUAAGAAAAUAACAAUACUAAUAAUAAAUUGCUCAUGAAAAUUCAAAAGUAAUAUAUUCAUAUUAAAAUGGAAUCAUUGUUUAUGUUAAAAUAUAAUCGGGUAAGUAAAAUUCUAUUUUUUAUUGCUUCUUCGCCCCUAUAAAGGAAAAAAAAAAAAACUCAAGUAUACAAAAUUGACUAGUGUGUUUUUGGGUGGGAGGCGUGGUGGUUUUUUUUAAGGUAUAACCAUUUUAAAGCACAAACCACACAUCUUCAAAGCAAAAAUAUACAUGUUUUUUAAUAAAAAAAAGAGUCACCACACUUCCCACCCAAACACUAUCUAAAGCCUACUUGUCCGGGCCAUUCAAGGCUUGGCCAAUGGGGCAUGCAGCCGUGCCAGUGGACUUCUUUGUAUUUUUGGCUCUUUGUUUUUAUUUUUGUGGUGUUUUUUUUUAUUUUAUAUUGUAGUGUCUACUUAAUAAUUUGUUUUGUUUCUUUAAUUUUAUCAUUUGAUUUCAAUUGCUUUUUUUAAUUGUAUAGUAAAAUAAAAUAAAAAUUAAUUGAUCCUUGUAAAAUUCAUGAAUUGGUUUAUAAAGUUGACAACUAACUCGGAUUAAUCCAAAAUGUUUUGCUUUUUGUUUCUUUGAUUUUAUACCCCUUGAAUCUAUCGAGUUGACGGGGUUGUGCAGGUGUGACUUUCGCACAAUUGAAUUUCAAACCCGAAAAAAGUAUAGAAUUAGGUUGUGAGAACUUAAGUUGAACCGUAGUAAUGUCAAAAAGAAAAGUUUCAUACGGGCUAGAUACAAUUUUGUUAUUUAUGAAAAGAAAUCCUGCCUGCAGCAUUGCGCGGGGAAUAAAGCUAGCCACGUGAUAAAACUAGUUAGCAAUAUUCUCAUCGUUAUCAAUAAUCUCAUCGUUAUCUUCUCACAGGGCCGAAGUGUCGUGUUGGAAGCUAUUAUUCUUGUUUUGGUCUCACCUACUUUUUGCCUGCGGGCAUUUCUUCCAUACUUAUCGCGAUCGUAUUGGAUGACAGUAGGGUGGGAGAAACAUCCCGGCUAAAGAAAAAAGUAGGAUAUCAUUAUCUUUCCUGCAAAACGAUUAAAGAGAGAACGCACUAAAAAGGUGCUCAAAUCACCUUUUAAAAUAAGGUGCGGUGCGUUUAAUUAAUUUGAGUUGAAAACAAAAAUAUCUCAAGCUAUCCAAACGUUUCAGGUGUCGUCUUAUGCUAUCAUCAGAAUUCAGAAGAGCAGUGGCUACAGGGACGCACUUGUUAAGAUCAAAGAACAAGAUAUUUAUACAAUACGUACUGCAGUCAACAAAAUUCUGAUACUGUCCGUACGGAUAUAAUAACUAGUGGGGCUAAAGUGGCACAAUAACAUGCAUGUUUCCAGAAAACGAGAAGAGUUUAGGGAUAAAGAGGAUAACAAAAUGAAACAAGACUGUAUUAUUGAAGCACAUCUGCGUCUAUGCACUAACUCGAAACAAAAAUGAAAUAAUCUAGAAAAUAAUUUAUUUUUUCAAGUUUAUUAAAAAAAUAUAAAUUAAAUAUGAUAUUUUAUGAGACUAAAUGCUUCCUAUUAACUAGUUUUUAAUAGUAAACAAAUAUAUAAAAGUUUAGAAAUAGUUUUCAGAAAAAUAUUUUUUAUGAUAAUUUUUCCAUUUCAUUAGAUAAUUAUUUCUUAUAAAGUGAAUUUAUCAAACAUGAAAAUGUUUCAAGGGAUAAAGAUUACUAAUUUAUGGCAAGACUCUAAAUAUACCAGUGAUACAAUGUUGUUCUAGUAAGUAAAGAAGGGAUACGAUGUUGGCAAAACAAAUAGAAUUGUAAUGGUUUUAAGAGAUAAGAUAAUAUUUAUUUAUGGAUACGAAAGAGUUCUAUUUGGAAUUCUAUAUAAAAUAUUGAAUUGUUCUUUGCAUAUUGUUUUUCUUCUUGGAAGUAUGAUCAAAAGGCAAUUUAUUGUUUUUUUUUUUUUGAAAAUAAGAUUCAAGGGGAAAAUAAUUGCAAAGAAGAUUAUGCAAAUACACACUGCAUCUGAAAAAUGAAUUUAUAUACAAUACUCGUGGUUCAUAUAAGUUGAUGCAUACACACACACACAUGUGCAUGUGUGGGGGGGUCCUGUACUAUGUGAUGGUUCGACCACCACAUUAAUUAAAAAAAGAGGCAGUUAGUUGCCUUUUUAAAUUAAAAAGAUGGAGCUGCCACUGUAGACGUAGAAGAUAGAAACAGAAGAGAGGAUAAGAGAAAAAGGGAGAAAGAAUAGGCAGUAGUCUGUCUCAUUUCUUUGACUUCUAGCUUGUUCACUAUUAGAUCGGGUUGAGAUUUUGACAACAACUUCUAGACACGUUACUCUUCAUUCUAGACGUCUGGAUUGAAGAUUGAUUAUGUGAAAGCUGACCAUUUUGACAGGAAACGAGUCUGUCAGUGUUGUGAGUUUUUCUCAAACACUUAUCUCUUUAAUCUUGUUGUAUUCCAAGAAUAAAAUGUUCUUGAUAAUAUGUAUGUUGUAGUCUUUAGUUAAAUCUAAGGAAAAACAGUUAUGAACUCAUUAUUUUAAAAGUUUUUAGGUAGACUACGAUCUCGUGAUUUUUUCCUCAUCAAGUUUUUUCCACGUAAAAAUCUUGAUGUUGAUUUAUGUGAUUGUUUGCAUUAUCUUGUUCAUUGUUUGAUUCUGUUUUUUAUUGCACAAAAAGGAAAAAGGAUUAGGACUUUUGAAUUAUAUUCCGCUAAAUUGAUCCGGUUAUUUAUUCCUAGUUUUCCCAACAUAUAUAUAUAUAUAUAUAAACCUUGUUUUAGAGAAAAACUCUGAAAGUUUUCAAUGUAUAUUACGUUAAUUAUACAUGCUUAAUUAAAAUAUUUUCUCCGUAAAAUGAUUUUCGUUGCAUUAGUCGAAGUCUUCCUCGCCUGCAAUGCAACAAACAAGAGUUCCCGACUAGCACAAUUUUUUGUACCCCUUAUAGAAUCUGAUGGAGAAUUUUCAUCACCCUCAAUCAGUUGAAGUUUUAACCAAAGGACGAGGGAAAAAAAACAUGUAUAAUAACAAAAAGAUUAAUCAAGAAAACAUGACCUAAACUAAUAGCAUUGAUUAACAGUAUUAGAGCGGAACAUUAGGUAAAUUAUAGCAGACAAGAAGAUGCGGACAGUGAAAUAAGCAGUGGAACAAGAGAAAAUUAGUUGGCCUCGCAAAGAGCUUGCAGUGAAAGGUUGAGCUCCGGCCAUUGUUACUAUCACCCUUUAGAACUUGCUCUUGUGUUCAGGCCUGUGGGAAAACUCGAAAUCUAUAUGCACAAAAGCUCGCUCAACUUCAGGUAACUGCUCAAGCUUCUCUUGGAGAUCCUCGCCGAUAUUAUGUGCUUGGUUCAAAACCAUGUCUUCUGGCAAGACUAUGUCAACCUCCGCAAAGUAAUG
rnacentral:lncRNA from 1 species